UACAUCUGCAGAUGUAAUUGGAGGUAUUGUGGGGGGAGUCCUAUCAGGGAUCUUCCUCAUCCUCGUCAUCAUCUUUGUGUGCUGGAAGUAUGGGCCAUGUUGCAAAGGGUCUAAAUUCUGUCUAAGUGCAAGCACAAUGAGGAAGCUUAAAUCUCUGGAUGUGGAGUUGGCCCCACCUUUUUCCAUCAGUGGACAAAUUGGGAGUUCCUUAGGCCAAAGAUACAGUGGUAGCACAGAGAUUCAAUACACGAAUAUGCCACCAGAGAAUGACCUUUAUGAGA